rnacentral:rRNA from 1 species
CCGGCGAACGGGUGCGUAACACGUGAGCGACCUUCCGUCUUCUGGGGGAUAGCCGGCCCAACGGCCGGGUAAUACCGCAUACGCUCUUUCUGCUGCAUGGCAGGGGGAGGAAACUUCUGGGGGAGGACGAGGGGCUCGCGGCCUAUCAGCUAGUUGGGGGGUAACGGCCUCCCAAGGCGACGACGGGUAGCUGGUCUGAGAGGAUGGCCAGCCACAUUGGGACUGAGAGACGGCCCAG